GUGUGGGGGGGAAGCAGGUGGACUUCUCUAAAUCCCAGGGAUACUAAGGAUGGCAAACAUGACAGAAAAAUUCCUUCCAUCCUCCUCGCUUUUCUCCACUGCCACUUCCCACACUUUUUAAUGGCUUCAGAAAAGAUCUGGAUCCCCCACCAUCCCAUCUGCUAGUUGGUUCUAAUUCCUGACACAUCAAUUAGGAUCCAUUAAUUUCUGGUCCCAUUCUUCCCUUGUUUGCCAGACAGGAUGUCAACCCAGUCUUUGGGUUAUAUCAGUAGAUGGUUUUGUUUUCAUUGCUGCAGUAAGCCACUCUCUGCAUUGUCUCCCUCAACAUCCACUGUUACAGGCAUAUAGGGCAGUUUGUAAAAUGUGUGUCACUUAAAGUUUACAAUUUGGUUUGACUUGUUAACAUCUGAAGAUAAAGUCUAGAACAUGAGAGUCUCCUAAGAACUGAUCAUCUUCUUUCUCUAUUCAAAUUGUAAAGUUAAUGCCAUUACCAAUUCAAAUUAUCCUGCCCUCUAGACCUGUACUAACAUUUAAGUAAGAAAAGCAGUAAGUGCUGCAUUCGCUUUGAAAGCUGCGUCACUCCUGAGUGCUCUUGGUACCAGGAGUAUUUCCAUAAGGGCAGCAUUGAUUUUAUUUAUCUACUGUGUGCAGCACAGCAAGUCAUUCCUUCUCUUCACAUUAUGCACUAAUUAAAAAAUAAACAGGUAGUAUGGCAAGUUAGGUUCAAAAUCUCCAAAGGACAGCCCUGCAUACAGCAAAUCAGCUGAUACUUUGUGCCCUCAAGUAUGACUUAUUCCUGUUCUCUUAAAUUACACUCAACUGGCUGAUCAGACCAUAAAGGAAAUGGACAGCUGCAGUAGAGAGUGGGUAUUUUAAUAGUAGAGUGCUGUAGACAUGGCUGACUGCCAAAGAACACAUUGUUAAAGCAACCAACAUAAAAUGAAAAAUUAAGAUAUUGGCACCAAGACCUACUGGUAAGAACUGAGGGUCAGUAAAGGACAGUGAAAUAAUCUAAAAGAUUUCUUCCACUGCAUUGAAUUUAGGACAGGCAAAGCAGUCUUGCUUUGGAGAAGUAUUCUGCAGUGCUGGGAACUGUGGCAAGUCUCAAACAAACACAGAGGACACUGUUGGCUGUCCUGGCUGCUGCAGUUUCUGCUCUUGGCCAGAGAGCACUUUGGAACAAUCCUUCUUUAUAGCACAGUCACAGCUGGACAAAACAACGUCCAGACCAGUUCUGAAAUGCACUGUCAGUAAUCGAUAUAUAUCUUAAUGUGUUUUAUUUGAUACUUUGUUCUAUUUUAGACGCAUCAACAAUUUCUUAAAAUUGCCUUUUUCCUGAGAGAGAUGCAGAAUAACAGCAGCAAGGAGCAUUCUCGGUGGGCCCUGGAGAGUGUGGCUUAGAAUUAGAAGUCUCCUGGACCUGUGGCUGUUUACAAGCAGCAGGCAAUUGUAGCUGCAGUUGUCAUUAUUUGGAAACGCUUAACCAAAGCCAAAGGGUGAAGAAAAAUCUGAGAAGAAGGAAAGGUUAAAAUCUGGCACAGAUAAAUCAGUCCAAGACUGCUUUUGCACUAUUUAGUUGUCUCGAGCUGUACCAAGAAGGGCUGACUCAAAUACAGGUAUUAAACUUGCUUCCAUUUUAAGCAGCAUUAUUUAAAAAGAUUUGGAAAGUGGGACAACUUAGAGGCUUAAUGUCGCUCUAACACAGCAUGGAGACUAAUCUCUAAUAUCUUUAUCCUGGACAUUCCUUUUCUGGGUUCCCUGCCAACACCUUUUCCCUCUGCCCUGUCUCAGGGCAGAGAGAUCCAAGUCCUGAGAGAAUGAGGUCAGUGGAGCAGCCAGACCAAGGGACACAGACAACAAGGCAGCAAACCAUAGGAAUGUGAGCCCGCUGUAGCUGAUAAAAUCACAGCCAUCAGCUGACCCUGUCAGGACCCAGAGGUGACACAGAUACUCACAGCUCAGUCAGACAAACAAAAGCCCCAAACAAGCCCCAAGGCCCCUAAAUGAAUCACAUCUCUCACUCAUGCUUAGUGUAUGAGAGCAGGAGGCAUCACCACCCACCACAAGGAACUCAUCAGAAAAACACUGCUACUAGUAGCUAACUGAAUGCAUCAAAAUGCUACACCAGCAGAUUCUUUUCUGAGCAUUGCAUGGAACUAACUAGUCUAAUCAGGGGCUGGAGAUGGAACGCUAGUAUGAGUCAUCUUUAUCCUAACACCUCCUACACGUAUUGCUGCUGAUAAAGUUGAGCUAAUAAUAAGAAAGUCAAUUUUAAGGCAAAAUCGCACCAUAGGUAGAAUUUAGUGAAGCUCUUGCCAAAUAUGACAGUAAUAUCAACAAUGUGUACAAUAAAGAAUAUCAAUUUGUUGCAUCUUAGAAUCAUUGAAUCACGAAAUCAUUAAGGUUGGAAAAGAUCAUGUAGUCCAACUGUCCACCUACUAGCAA